AAGAAGAAUUUGUUAAUGGAUAUUCUCGCUGACAUGAGGACGGCGGGCUUUCUCGUUGAAGAUGAUGACACGCUGGACCGUAAAAUGCGAAACAUGAAGAGGACCUAUAAAACAGGUCGUGGUCGCGUUCAGUGGGAAUACUAAGACCUGUUCGAAGAUAUUUUUUCCACUAACCGCACAGUCAAUUUGGGUCCAGUCGUGUCAUCGAUGGAGAACAGUGAUGUGCCUAUACUCCUUGACGAAAGCACCUGCAGCACACUAUUUAAGAAAAAGGCAAUUGGCAAAUGAGGAGCGAAAACUUAAUAUAUUUCAAUGUUAGAGAACGAAAUGAAUUGCUUCGCUAAUUCGUUAAUAGUCGUAGCGCAGCGACAGCAACAAACCCAAAUCCCGAGGGUAUAUAAUGAAAGAUAUGUAUUUCCCGUCAUCAUCCAUCACCUUUCCGUGCAGUUAUAUAAAAAUAUUUAUCUGUUAUAUAUUAUCGGUAGAACUCGA